rnacentral:rRNA from 1 species
AUUGAACGCUGGCGGCAGGCCUAACACAUGCAAGUCGAGCGGAUGAAGGGAGCUUGCUCCUGGAUUCAGCGGCGGACGGGUGAGUAAUGCCUAGGAAUCUGCCUGGUAGUGGGGGAUAACGUCCGGAAACGGGCGCUAAUACCGCAUACGUCCUGAGGGAGAAAGUGGGGGAUCUUCGGACCUCACGCUAUCAGAUGAGCCUAGGUCGGAUUAGCUAGUUGGUGGGGUAAAGGCCUACCAAGGUGACGAUCCGUAACUGGUCUGAGAGGAUGAUCAGUCACACUGGAACUGAGACACGGUCCAGACUCCUACGGGAGGCAGCAGUGGGGAAUAUUGGACAAUGGGCGAAAGCCUGAUCCAGCCAUGCCGCGUGUGUGAAGAAGGUCUUCGGAUUGUAAAGCACUUUAAGUUGGGAGGAAGGGCAGUAAGUUAAUACCUUGCUGUUUUGACGUUACCAACAGAAUAAGCACCGGCUAACUUCG